AUGGCAGGGAGCCUCUUAUGUAGGGCAGGUAGGCGCCUGUGGGACUAGGUGUGGCAUGCAGAAGCUUCUUUCUUGGUAUUCCUAGAUUGAUUGGUAUAAGGCUCCUACCCCCCAAAGUAGUUGAUCCUUGGAACGAAAGGAUGGCCAUGUUCAGAGUGUAUGACAACAUCAGGAUCCUGGGAAACUUUGAAAAGCACCCCAAAAGCUGAUCAGGGACCCCAUAUGGCUUCGAGAUUGGAAGGGGAAUGAAUUGCAACGCUGUAUGCUAAAGAAGAAAAUGGUUGGAAACAGAAUGUUUGCUGAUGAGCUGCACAACCUCAAUAAACGCAUCAGCUGUCUCUACAAACACUUUAACUGACAUGGGAAAUAUCGAUAG
rnacentral:lncRNA from 1 species